GAUGAACGCUGGCGGCGUGCCUAAUACAUGCAAGUCGAACGCGCAGCGAGAGGUGCUUGCACCUUUCAAGCGAGUGGCGAACGGGUGAGUAACACGUGGAUAACCUGCCUCAAGGCUGGGGAUAACAUUUGGAAACAGAUGCUAAUACCGAAUAAAACUUAGUAUCGCAUGAUAUAAAGUUAAAAGGCGCUACGGCGUCACCUAGAGAUGGAUCCGGGGUGCAUUAGUUAGUUGGUGGGGUAAAGGCUGACCAAGACAAGGAUGUAUAGCCGGUUUGAGAGGCUGAUCGGCCACAUUGGGACUGAGACGCGGCCCAGACUCCUACGGGAGGCUGCAGUGGGGAAUCUUCGACAAUGGGCGAAAGCCUGAUGGAGCAACGCCGCGUGUGGGAUGAAGGCUUUCGGGUCGUAAAGCGCUGUUGUAUGGGAAGAAAUGCUAAAAAAGGGAAUGAGUUUAGCUUGACGGUACCAUACCAGAAAGGAACGGCUAAAUACGUGCCAGCCGCCGCGGUAAUAC
rnacentral:rRNA from 1 species